CCCUUAGAUGUUCUGGGCCGCACGCGCGCUACACUGACGGAUUCAACGAGCUUACAACCUUGGCCGAAAGGUCUGGGUAAUCUCCAAAAUCCGUCGUGAUGGGGAUAGAUUAUUGCAAUUAUUCAUCUUCAACGAGGAAUGCCUAGUAAGCGCAAGUCAUCAGCUUGCGUUGAUUACGUCCCUGCCCUUUGUACACACCGCCCGUCGCUCCUACCGAUUGAAUGGUCCGGUGAAGCGUUUGGACUAUGGUUUUCUGAUGGUCCGCCGUUGGAUUACCGUGGGAAGUUCGUUAAACCUUAUCAUUUAGAGGAAGGAGAAGUCGUAACA
rnacentral:rRNA from 1 species